rnacentral:lncRNA from 1 species
AACAACAUUGCAAAUAAGAAUAUUAAGAAUAUUAACAGAGCUGUACAGGACUGUUGGCUGCAACACUUGGGACAUUUAGGUAAGAAAAGGUGUCACACUUUUCUGCCUCCGCAAAGCCAACUGAGAGUAGGAGGGUUAUAAGAGAAACCAAAAUCCCAUUAUUUGGGUGAGUAAAAACUAAAUAAUCAAUAUUGCUUUUAAAUAUGUUGGUAUCUAUUAUUCAAUGUGUCUAGUAAAAUAAAUUUAAUCA